GAUGAACGCUGGCGGCGUGCCUAAUACAUGCAAGUCGAGCGAACAGACAGGAAGAUCUUUCUUUUGACGUUAGCGGCGGACGGGCGAGUAACACGUGCAUAACCAACUUAUAAGUCGGGGAUAAUUUCGGGAAAAAGGAUAUGAUAAUAGCUAAUAUAUUGAACCGCUUGAUGCAAUAGUGAUUCACGCCUUUGCUGUUUCUAAUAGAUGGUUUCGGGCCGGAUUAGCUAGUUGGUAAGGUACCGGCUUACCAAGGCAACGAUGCGUAGCUGACCUGAGAGGAUGAUCAGCCACACUGGAACUGAGACACGGUCCAGACUCCUACGGGAGGCAGCAGUAGGGAAUCUUCCGCAAUGGGCGAAAGCCUGACGGAGCAACGCCGCGUGAGUGAUGAAGGUCUUCGGGUCGUAAAGCUCUUUUAUUGGGGAAGAAAAACUGUGGAUGUAUACACGCAUGUCUUGACGGUACCUAAUCAGAAAGCCACGGCUAACUACGUG
rnacentral:rRNA from 1 species